GUGAAUUGAAUGCACUGGUUGAGUUUUAAGCCUGGUUUAAAUUCACUAUACUCGAUUUUUUAUAUUUUACUUUGAAGAAAUAUUACCCUACUUUUAAUUUUAAUCAUGGUUUUAUUUAUUUAGAUUCAUCAUUUUUCAAAACAUCGGAAGCCUGAAAAUGCAAACAUUUAGUCUAUCUGGGACAUGCUCGAUAACUUGCUACUGGCGUGCUUCCAUUUGACAAUGCUUCUGAAAUUAUUGCUGUAAAAUGCUUGGUCCUCUUAAAGAAAAUGGCAAUGCAUGGAUCAAGCACAGCACAUGGAUGUAAUAACACUAAUAACUCUGUAUCAAAAAAGAAAAUGAGACCUUGCAGCAUGCCUGCUUGGUAUUCAAAAACCGUUUGGCAAUUAAAUAACCAACUAACGUUCUGGGGAUUGGUAUAAUAGAAUUCUUGUAUAUAAUUGCAAGUUAUUUUCUUACAGAAUGAUAAGAAUAACAGAAAAAUUGAAACAAUGGCAGAAUAAUGUUAAUGUGACAUUUGUUUUCAUUAAUAUUAGAGAUGGUAAGUGAUAAAAAACAAUAGUGUUGAUAGCUUAUUUGCCUAGUUGCAAAUGCUAAUAAGCUUAUUUAGGAAGGAGAGAAAAGGCAUACACGUAGAAAUAUUGAUGGAUUACUCAGGAAGUAAUAAGAAGUCCGCUCUAUUAUUGCUUCUUAGAUAGCAAUGUAUUUAAUACAUUCAAAUAGUGGCUGCAACUUCUGUGGGGAAUAACACCAUGGAGAUUGCAUAGAUUUUUUCUGAGAUUAGCGUCAUCUUUAACGCAAGAGAUUUGGGAACAAACGUUACCGUUAUGCUUUAUCGUUUAGAAAGCUUUUCAUCCACCACUCUGGGAAUGUCGGUAAGCGUAAAUCAAAUGAUUCUGCCUUUACAGUAAAGUUUCUACAGUGACGUGAAGUUGUAUCAAUAUUCAAGUAUAUAGCCAAGCAAAGCAGUUACAUUAGCAGUAAUCCAAAAUCAUCUUAAUGAUGAAACAAAACGAGCAUAGCCUGGUAAAGCGGCUUCUAAAAUAUACACUUCCCCCGGAAACUAUGGAUUUCGCCAGAUGGCGUUAAACCUGUCAGGCAAAGCACUCUAGCGGAGUCCAUAUUUGGACUGUAAGUUCAUAGUUCAGUAAUACCGAGGAAGAGCUGCGCAUGGAACAGCUCAGAUGUCUGUAAACUUAUUAUGCAAGUAUUUGAAAACCUUAUUAAUUGCUUCUUAAUAACAAAAUAUUUAAUACAGUCCAAUAGUGUCUGUGACUGCUGUGGGGAAUGAUACCAUGGAGAU